CCUACGGGGGGCAGCAGUGAGGAAUAUUGGUCAAUGGGCGUAAGCCUGAACCAGCCAAGUCGCGUGAGGGAUGAAGGUUCUAUGGAUCGUAAACCUCUUUUAUAAGGGAAUAAAGUGCGGGACGUGUCCCGUUUUGUAUGUACCUUAUGAAUAAGGAUCGGCUAACUCCGUGCCAGCAGCCGCGGUAAUACGGAGGAUCCGAGCGUUAUCCGGAUUUAUUGGGUUUAAAGGGUGCGUAGGCGGCCUUUUAAGUCAGCGGUGAAAGUCUGUGGCUCAACCAUAGAAUUGCCGUUGAAACUGGGAGG
rnacentral:rRNA from 1 species